CCACACGACUCUGGCGGGGUUAUAAAGGCCUUUUGAAGCGAAGCGAUGCAGCUAUGAGGAAAAACUCUACCAUGCACACAGAGAACAGAGCUCAAUGCUGCUAACUGGGCGAGCAACUGGACAACUAGAAGAGAAAAACAGUAGAACACUAUUAAUACAGAUGACUGGAAUACUCUUCUGCAAGAACCAAGACAAGCAAAGACUGAUGAUGAGUGCUCUGAGCAAACACAGCAGUCAAGACGCAUGAGUGACUUUACUGAGUUCUUCAUGUAAUGUUGGGCAUUUACUGUACGCAGAACUUCUAAUAAUUUAUGUGGAUGCCAUUUAUAAACCUGUUAGAUUUCGAUGUUUUAGUUUUGAGAUUAAUAAAAUUGUAUGUUUUAACAAUG